rnacentral:lncRNA from 1 species
AAAAACAACAAAAAAGAAAAGAAAAGAAAAAGCCUUUUUAUUAUCAAAAUCUGUGAGCUUUUUACACAAAAAGAAGAGAUGAAAAUGGUCUCUGUGAUCAUUAUUAUGGGUUAAGUUUUUAGGUGAAAAUGAUGGUGUAGCCCUUUGAAUGAGAUUCGUUGUCGGCAAUACCCUAAAGCUCUGCAUGUCCAUUUCCAUUUGAGUUGGGCUUCAUUUGUCAUCAACUGUAACUGGGCUAUUGCCCUCUCCCA